AAAAACACGUCAAAAUCAGAAACGCUGUGACUGAGAAGUGUUCCUGCCAAUGUGUUAAGCAUUACCACAGCACCACCAUAUCACACCAGUGAGCCCUCACUGAACUAUUCACUUCUGGGCAGAGUCAAAGACAGCCCCAUCUGAAGCAGCAUAUAAUUUAGAUGUUAUCAGUCUCACUACAUAAAAAAAAAAGAAAGCACAGCAGCACAGAGACAGCAGAUGUAAAGACAGGAAGUCUGCAGCAGAGCAAAGACAUGAACCUGUACUUGCUCUCAGGGGAUGUGCAUUCUUGGGCAAAAGAGAUUUCCCUAAGGGCAGGAUAACAGCUAAAUGAAAUGUAAAUGCAGGGAUUGCAUUAAGAUGCAGACCAUGUCUGCUGAAACUACUGCCUGCAAUGCUCCUUCAUGCCUGCAAUCAACAAAACAAACUUAGCACAGUUGUUGAAGAGAACAGAGGAUGCCAGCUUGUGUUCCUCCAUCUCACAGCUGUUCUUACCUGUGCCAACACCUGGAAAGCAAAAAGAUUUUUUGUGCUGUAAGAAACUGUUUGUACCAUAUAUUCUGCAACAGAAUGUUCGAAUAUCCAUGACAUUUCCCUGCAUUAUUUAGCGUUUCUUUUCCUUAUUAAAUUUUCAUCCCUAAGACCUUAAGUUCAUUUUACUGGCUUCACGCAUUUCAAAAACCACAAUUCUUUUAAACAAAGCUUCAGAUAUGCUGUCCUUCUGAAAAUCCAGGGCAUAUAAAAUCUGAUGCAGUCCACUCUGCAUGUUUCCCAGGGCUAAAGCCUUUUUUACA